rnacentral:rRNA from 1 species
UUYUCUUUYGYUUYUCAUUAAGAGUAUGGCCUGCCCAGUGGAAAAAUCUAAACGGCCGCAGAAUUUUAACUGUGCUAAGGUAGCAUAAUCACUUGUUAUUUAAUUGAUAACUAGUAUGAACGGCUUAACGACUCUAUACUGUCUCACUUAUAUAUAAUAUAAUUUAAUAUUUAUGUUAAAAAGCAUUAAUUAAAUAAAAAGACAAAAAGACCCUAUAGAGUUUAAUUUUUAAAAUUUACAUAUUAACAUAAAAAAAUUUAGUUGGGGCAACUAAGAAACAAAUAAACUUUCUUUUAAAAAUAAACAUAAUAUAUCAUUCUAUAAAUAAAAUAAAAUAAAUUACCUUAGGGAUAACAGCAUAAAUUUCUUUAAGAGCCCAAAUCGAAAAGAAAAAUUAUGACCUCGAUGUUGGAUUAGGGAUACUUAAAAUAHAAAAAAAUUUUUUAGUUAGUCUGUUCGACUAUUAAACCCCUACAU